rnacentral:rRNA from 1 species
AUUGAACGCUGCGGCAUGCCUAACACAUGCAAGUCGAACGGCAGCACAGUAAAGACUUCGGUCUUUAUGGGUGGCGAGUGGCGGACGGGUGGGGAAUGCAUCGGAAUCUGCCCUGUCGUGGGGGAUAACGUAGGGAAACUUACGCUAAUACCGCAUGAUCUGGAGACAGCAAAGCGGGGGAUCGCAAGACCUCGCGCGAUGGGAUGAGCCGAUGCCCGAUUAGCUAGUUGGCGGGGUAAGAGCCCACCAAGGCGACGAUCGGUAGCUGGUCUGAGAGGAUGAUCAGCCACACUGGAACUGAGACACGGUCCAGACUCCUACGGGAGGCAGCAGUGGGGAAUAUUGGACAAUGGGGGCAACCCUGAUCCAGCCAUGCCGCGUGUGUGAAGAAGGCCUUCGGGUUGUAAAGCACUUUUGUCCGGAACGAAAAGCGUUCGGUUAAUAACCGGGCGUGCUGACGGUACCGGAAGAAUAAGCACCGGCUAACUUCGUGCCAGCAGCCGCCGUAA